GACGAACGCUGGCGGCGUGCUUAACACAUGCAAGUCGAACGGAAAGGCCUGGCUUUCGUGGUGGGCUCGAGUUGCUAACGUGUGAGUCACACGUGUGUCACCUGCCUUUGAUUUUGCGAUAACUUCAGGAAACUUGGGCUACUACCUGUUAGUAGCUCCUGCUGCAUGGGGGGGGUUGGGAGGUUUCGGCGGUUGGUGAUGGACUUGCGGCUUAUCAGCUUGCUGGUGGGGUAGUGGGUUACCAAGGCUGUGACGGGUAGCCGGCCUGAGAGGGUGACCGGCGACAUUGGGACUGAGAUAAGGCGCAGAAGCCUACGGGAGGCAGCAGUGGGGAAUAUUACACAGUGGGCGGAAGCCUGAGGCAGCGAUGCCGCGUGCGGGAUGACGGCCUUCGGGUUGUAAACCGCUUGCGCCUGUGACGAAGCGUGAGUGACGGUAAUGGGUAAAGAAGCACCGGCUAACUACGUG
rnacentral:rRNA from 1 species